GUCUACAGCCAUGCCACCCUCAACAAGCCUGAUGUCUGAUCUCGGGAGCUAAGCAGGGUUGGGCCUGGUUAGUACUUGGAUGGGAGACCACCUAGGAAGACCAGGUGCUAUAGGCA
rnacentral:rRNA from 1 species